rnacentral:rRNA from 1 species
GGAUUGGUGCCUUCGGRAACUCGAACACAGGWGCUGCAUGGYUGUCGUCAGCUAGUGAMGAGAGAUGUUGGGUUAAGUCCCGCAACGAGCGCAACCCUUGUCCUUAGUUGCCAGCACGUAAUGGUGGGAACUCUAAGGAGACCGCCGGUGACAAACCGGAGGAAGGUGGGGAUGACGUCAAGUCAUCACGGCCCKUACGGCCAGGGCUACACACGUACUACAAUGGUAGGGACAGAGGGCUGCAAGCCGGCGACGGUAAGCCAAUCCCAGAAACCCUAUCUCAGUCCGGAUUGGAGUCUGCAACUCGACUCCAUGAAGUCGGAAUCGCUAGUAAUCGCAGAUCAGCAUUGCUGCGGUGAAUACGUUCCCGGGUCUUGUACACAC